UCUCCCAGCCGUCCCCUCCCUCCACACCGUUUGCAUGCUGUGCUGCGGCUGCGCGUUGCAGCGUAACAUCCUUGCACACUGGGGCAAACCUUUGGGUGUGGGACUAAAAAGUGCAGAAAAAGGAGAAGAACCGGACCCAUCCGACAUCGACUCCUCCUCCUCCUGCUCCUCCUCCUCCUCCUGCUCCUCCUCCUCCUCCUGCUCCUCCUCAGCAUCCCGGGUCCCGGUUCCUGCGUCCUGGACCCCUGUGAGGAAUGCGAGCCGAGCGCACCCGGGGACCGUGAGACGUUCCUUCCUUCGUGUUUUUAAUUAUUCACGUCGGACCUGGAUAUGUCCCUCGUGUAAACACGAAGGACGCUUGUGAAGGUGUCUGAAGAGGACAGAAGAGGGCAUCAGAUCCCUGGAGCUGGAGUCCCAGGCAGUUGUGGAGCACCCAAGAUCUAAGAGGAGGACGGUGCCAUCCUUACAGCAGACAAGCCUUGGAAAUGCGCUCCAGCGUCCGCAGCUUUGAAACCCGGGCUGCUUACUUCUUAGUCACUCAACACUCCCGGCUCAGUUCUGCGAUGAAGGGCGUUAAACCCCCAAAGACGCCAGGCAACUCCUGCAAUGGUGACCCGUGUUUGCCCAAGGCAGCUUUUGGCCUGACAUCUUUCCCCCUACCCAAAUCCCGGUACUCCCAGGGGAAGACAUCGCUAUUUGGGAGAGAGUUUCCACUGCUCUGAGAAUUACACGUUUUGGGGAGUAGUCCUCUUAGUGUGCCUUACAGAGCCUCGGAACUCUGGUGGACUUUGUUCUCUCUGUGUUGAAGCCUCUGGGGAAGUUGAAAGAGUUAUGAUUUAUCAUUUGGCAAGGGACACUCGGAAACAGCUAACUCGAAGGUCACAGGGACCAGCUCUAGUUUUAAAUUCAGCCUCAGGAGGGUAGUUUUAUAGAGAGGGUACACGAAGCUUUCUGGGAAAACGUUAUGGUUUUGUAACAUUAGGAAUCUAGAAGUGAUUGAUCAUCUAUUACAGUGUCAUGUGGAUGCUUCUUGGUGCAAAAAUGAAUUAAAACAUAACAUGGUUAAA
rnacentral:lncRNA from 1 species